UACAGAGGGUGCGAGCGUUGUCCGGAAUCACUGGGCGUAAAGGGCGCGUAGGUGGCGGCCCAAGUCCAUGGUGAAAGCUCGAUGCUCAACAUCGAGUCGGCCACGGAUACUGGGUUGCUCGAGCACUGUAGGGGCAGAUGGAAUUCCGGGUGUAGCGGUGGAAUGCGUAGAUAUCUGGAGGAACACCGGUGGCGAAGGCGGCAUCCUGGACCGACACUGACGCUGAGGCGCGAAAGCUAGGGGAGCAAACGGGAUUAAGAA
rnacentral:rRNA from 1 species